GUCCACGCCGUAAACGAUGAAUGCUAGACGUUGGCGAGCAUGCUCGUCAGUGUCGCAGCUAACGCAUUAAGCAUUCCGCCUGGGGAGUACGGUCGCAAGAUUAAAACUCAAAGGAAUUGACGGGGGCCCCGCACAAGCGGUGGAGCAUGUGGUUUAAUUCGAAGCAACGCGCAGAACCUUACCAACCCUUGACAUGGGGAGUAUGGGUCGGAGAGAUCCGGUCCUUCAGUUCGGCUGGCUCCCACACAGGUGCUGCAUGGCUGUCGU
rnacentral:rRNA from 1 species